rnacentral:rRNA from 1 species
GAUGAACGCUGGCGGCGUGCCUAAUACAUGCAAGUCGAGCGAACGGACGAGAAGCUUGCUUCUCUGAUGUUAGCGGCGGACGGGUGAGUAACACGUGGAUAACCUACCUAUAAGACUGGGAUAACUUCGGGAAACCGGAGCUAAUACCAGAUAAUAUUUUGAACCGCAUGGUUCAAAAGUGAAAGACGGUCUUGCUGUCACUUAUAGAUGGAUCCGCGCUGCAUUAGCUAGUUGGUAAGGUAACGGCUUACCAAGGCAACGAUGCAUAGCCGACCUGAGAGGGUGAUCGGCCACACUGGAACUGAGACACGGUCCAGACUCCUACGGGAGGCAGCAGUAGGGAAUCUUCCGCAAUGGGCGAAAGCCUGACGGAGCAACGCCGCGUGAGUGAUGAAGGUCUUCGGAUCGUAAAACUCUGUUAUUAGGGAAGAACAUAUGUGUAAGUAACUGUGCACAUCUUGACGGUACCUAAUCAGAAAGCCACGGCUAACUACGUGCCAGCAGCCGCGGUAAUACGUAGGUGGCAAGCGUUAUCCGGAAUUAUUGGGCGUAAAGCGCGCGUAGGCGGUUUUUUAAGUCUGAUGUGAAAGCCCACGGCUCAACCGUGGAGGGUCAUUGGAAACUGGAAAACUUGAGUGCAGAAGAGGAAAGUGGAAUUCCAUGUGUAGCGGUGAAAUGCGCAGAGAUAUGGAGGAACACCAGUGGCGAAGGCGACUUUCUGGUCUGUAACUGACGCUGAUGUGCGAAAGCGUGGGGAUCAAACAGGAUUAGAUACCCUGGUAGUCCACGCCGUAAACGAUGAGUGCUAAGUGUUAGGGGGUUUCCGCCCCUUAGUGCUGCAGCUAACGCAUUAAGCACUCCGCCUGGGGAGUACGACCGCAAGGUUGAAACUCAAAGGAAUUGACGGGGACCCGCACAAGCGGUGGAGCAUGUGGUUUAAUUCGAAGCAACGCGAAGAACCUUACCUAAUCUUGACAUCCUUUGACAACUCUAGAGAUAGAGCCUUCCCCUUCGGGGGACAAAGUGACAGGUGGUGCAUGGUUGUCGUCAGCUCGUGUCGUGAGAUGUUGGGUUAAGUCCCGCAACGAGCGCAACCCUUAAGCUUAGUUGCCAUCAUUAAGUUGGGCACUCUAAGUUGACUGCCGGUGACAAACCGGAGGAAGGUGGGGAUGACGUCAAAUCAUCAUGCCCCUUAUGAUUUGGGCUACACACGUGCUACAAUGGACAAUACAAAGGGCAGCGAAACCGCGAGGUCAAGCAAAUCCCAUAAAGUUGUUCUCAGUUCGGAUUGUAGUCUGCAACUCGACUACAUGAAGCUGGAAUCGCUAGUAAUCGUAGAUCAGCAUGCUACGGUGAAUACGUUCCCGGGUCU